UANAGUUUGAUCCUGGCCUCAGAGUGAACGCUGGCGGUAGGCCUAACACAUGUAAGUCGAACGGCAGCACAGGAGAGCUUGCUCUCUGGGUGGCGAGUGGCGGACGGGUGAGGAAUACAUCGGAAUCUACUCUGUCGUGGGGGAUAACGUAGGAAACUUACGCUAAUACCGCAUACGACCUACGGGUGAAGGCAGGGUGAUCUUCGGACCUUGCGCGAUUGAAUGAGCCGAUGUCGGAUUAGCUAGUUGGCGGGGUAAAGGCCCACCAAGGCGACGAUCCGUAGCUGGUCUGAGAGGAUGAUCAGCCACACUGGAACUGAGACACGGUCCAGACUCCUACGGGAGGCAGCAGUGGGGAAUAUUGGACAAUGGGCGCAAGCCUGAUCCAGCCAUACCGCGUGGGUGAAGAAGGCCUUCGGGUUGUAAAGCCCUUUUGUUGGGAAAGAAAUCCAGCUGGCUAAUACCUGGUUGGGAUGACGGUACCCAAAGAAUAAGCACCGGCUAACUUCGUGCCAGCAGCCGCGGUAAUACGAAGGGUGCAAGCGUUACUCGGAAUUACUGGGCGUAAAGCGUGCGUAGUGGUCGUUUAAGUC
rnacentral:rRNA from 1 species